CUGCAAGAUCUUGUUUUGAUUCACUUGCUUUUGGAUUUGGAAUUUUAGUACCAAGAAGCUGAAAUUUGCAGGAAAAAUGGUUCCAGUGGAAGGAGUUUUGAAGAAACAGUUAUUCCAUGGUGGAUUUCUGGCUUUUAACUGCAAAGAAGGUACAAGGAGCCGGAUUCGAGCUCCCGUAAUUCAAUUAAUGGCGACACGAAAAAUGAUGAGUCUGAGUACAUGAAGUACUUCGUCAGCAAACAUAGCAUAGUCAUGUUGGCUAGAGCCUAUGUGCGGCCCUCUGCAAACCUAGACGUAGUCAUGUUGGCUAGAGUGGAUAUCUCCCUUCUCAUAGUUAAGAUUCAAUUAAAGUAGAAUACCACUUGAAUCAACGAGAACAAGUUUUUACUUCAGCAUGAAAUCCUAGAUUUAAAAUUUGUGUUGCAAUUUUUGGACAGGUUUGUGCAGUGAGGCGGAGAAGGAUAUACCAUAACAGUGAAACUUAUGUGUUACUGGAGCCAGGAGAGGAUGAGAAGUUUGUUUCAGAGGAUGAGCUGAGAGCCAAGUUAAAAGUUUGGCUGGAGAACUGGCCUGCCAAAAACCUUCCUCUUGACCUUGCAAGAUUCGAAAGUAUCGACGACGCCGUUUCUUAUCAUGGGGAUGUAGGUUCAAUCCAGUGGUACGAAGUUCGAAUGGAGUGAGAAAAUCAUUCAAGCCUUGAAGAUUAAAAGUUUCUUUUGGCUCAAAGAAUUGAGAGUUUGGUUGUAUUUACUGAAAUUAGUAGUUAACAAAGCAUAAUCACAAAUUGUAACAACUACACCCUUUUGGUUAAUUUUGUUAAAGAUGCUCCACAUGCAGUGCACUGUGCUUUACAGAUUCCACUGUGCUUUACAGAUUGGAAUAUGGUUCCCACGUUAAGGAUGUAUGAUUAUUCUAAACAACAAGGACACAUGCAUAGUGGACAGCAAGGCCACUGCAUGUGUAUACUGACUGAUGUUUCAUAGACAACAAGGAUGCCACUUCCAGUUGUUUUGUUUAUUUGCAUGCGUGUGUAGUAAACUGUGUAUAAAACUCUGCUGCAAUUGCAGCAGAUCAUUAUUCAAAAUAUAGAUUGGAUCCAAGUUUAAUAUGGUAUCAGAGCACCGAUCUUGGUGACUCUAGAAAGCUCAUUCUGCUUCCGCCACAAACACAACCAGUCCAUCUUCAUUAAACACAGCCACCAUGGGCGACGAAAGACCAACUGAGACGAUACCCCAUGUA